GCGCGAAAACUUUACAAUGCUGGCAACAGCGAUAAGGGAACCUCGAGUGCCAGGUUACAAAUCUGGCUGUCGAGAUGCCUAAAAAGCAUUUCAUAGCAAGGGCCGGGCAAGACCGGUGCCAGCCGCCGCGGUAACACCGGCGGCUCGAGUGGUAACCGUUAUUAUUGGGUCUAAAGGGUCUGUAGCCGGCCGGAUAAGUCUCUUGAGAAAUCUGGCAGCUUAACUGUCAGGCUUUCAGGAGAUACUGUCUGGCUCGAGGCCGGGAGAGGUGAGAGGUACUUCAGGGUGAGUGGUGAACUCUUGUAAUCCAUGAAGGACCACCAGUGGCGAAGGCGUCUCACCAGAACGGACCUGACGGCAAGGGACGAAAGCUAGGUGCACGAACC
rnacentral:rRNA from 1 species